rnacentral:lncRNA from 1 species
UGAAAAUUUAACAAUCAGCUUUCUUGAACCAGUUCGAGAUGGCCCCAGUACAUCCCUCCCUGAAUUCAAACUGGUGAUAAUCCUCUCCAAAGUUACCUAGGCUGACCGAUACCUCCAACUUAUCUUGAUGAAAAACUUUUGGAGUUUUUUCCAGCUUGGUAGGAUUUCUCUGUGAUUAUGAUCUGCUAAGAUAACCGUUGUCAAUCCAGGGUCACCUCCAUGUCACAGUGGCCCCUUUGUGAGAGCAACAGGAAAAGACUGCCCAAAAGGUCCAAGACACAGGAAAGCCAAACUUCCUGUACUGGGGUAUUCAGAAGGGUCGCAUGAGGAGGAGAAGUGGCAAAAGGAGAGACAGGAGAUAGCAGGAUCUGAUUCUGGGACUGGUGGCAGUCUUAAGUGAUGAGAGGGCCAAUGUGCUCCUGGUCCUUCAGCAAACUUCGGUAAAGCCAGAAGCCAUCGGGACCUUGAGAGCGAAAAGGAAAACCCAAGAUGGAGGUCCCUUAACCAGCAUUAGAGUUGUGAACCAGGGAAAUCUAUAUCAUCAUUGAAGAAAGGGACAGUCUGGAAUAUUCUAGACAUAUUCAUGACAAAAACAGGUUUUCUCUGGCAAAGGGCAGGUGAUAUGAGCUUUGCCUCAUGGGACUGCAUAGGGUGACCAGAGGAAAGACAAUGGGGCCAGACCCAACCUGAUGAAAGCUCCAGAGAACUACAAGAGUAACCACCUGUUGAGGAACUGAGAAAGGCAAUGUGUGCCUGCCCAGAGCCCCAUCUAGAGCAUGAGUAAAUGGCUGAGACUUUAGACACGUCUGGGAGGGCAUUGCUCAUUGGCGGGUGUCCUCAUUUUCCAUGAGGUCUGUUGGGAAUUCCAUGUUGCUUACUUUGGACUCUCAUUAAAACUUCCCUUGUUUGAGCUUUAACAACUGGGUAAUUACAGAGGAGAUGGUUCUCUUUCCAAAUCUUCUGUCCUUUCCAUUACGCCAUGGGCUGAUGCUGAUUCUAAUAAGCAGGUAAGUGGCACCUUUAAGUGUGUACUGAGCCUGGAGUCAGGAAGUCUACAGUUCAAAUCUGGCCUCAGAUAUUUACUAGUUAUGUGACCUUGGGCAAGUCACUUCAUCUCGAUCUACUUUAGUUUUCUCAACUAUAAAAUGAGGAUAAUAACAGUG